rnacentral:rRNA from 1 species
CUAACGUGGACCCGUUACCCGGGUUGCGGACAGUGUCUGGUGGGUAGUUUGACUGGGGCGGUCUCCUCCUAAAGAGUAACGGAGGAGCACGAAGGUUGGCUAAUCCUGGUCGGACAUCAGGAGGUUAGUGCAAUGGCAUAAGCCAGCUUGACUGCGAGCGUGACGGCGCGAGCAGGUGCGAAAGCAGGUCAUAGUGAUCCGGUGGUUCUGAAUGGAAGGGCCAUCGCUCAACGGAUAAAAGGUACUCCGGGGAUAACAGGCUGAUACCGCCCAAGAGUUCAUAUCGACGGCGGUGUUUGGCACCUCGAUGUCGGCUCAUCACAUCCUGGGGCUGAAGUAGGUCCCAAGGGUAUGGCUGUUCGCCAUUUAAAGUGGUACGCGAGCUGGGUUUAGAACGUCGUGAGACAGUUCGGUCCCUAUCUGCCGUGGGCGCUGGAGAACUGAGGGGGGCUGCUCCUAGUACGAGAGGACCGGAGUGGACGCAUCACUGGUGUUCGGGUUGUCAUGCCAAUGGCACUGCCCGGUAGCUAAAUGCGGAAGAGA